UUGUAGGACUUGUUCCCCAAGAACAUUUACUGUUAAUGAAACAUCACUAAUUCUAGUAUUAUCAGAAUGCUGUUCAGAUGGAUUUGAAAUAUGUUCUCUUUUAUUGUAGUCUUCAUCUAUUUGCUCCUGUGGAAAUGGCACAGAAGAUUGUGGAACUUCAUUGCCUUUGUUUUGCAAACCAUACAGAACUGACUCAAUUCCGUGUUCCCGCUGGAAGGAAAUACUUGUCUGUUUUGGGAGCUCACCUUCGGGCAUCUUUGAUUCUGGUUCUGCGUAAGGUUUGCCUGAGCGCCUUGACUUUCAUGCAGCACUGCUGUGCAUCCCUGGUGCAGCCUCUCUC